ACUCCUACGGGAGGCAGCAGUGGGGAAUAUUGCACAAUGGGGGAAACCCUGAUGCAGCAACGCCGCGUGAGUGAUGAAGGUCUUCGGAUUGUAAAACUCUGUCUUUGGGGACGAUAAUGACGGUACCCAAGGAGGAAGCCACGGCUAACUACGUGCCAGCAGCCGCGGUAAUACGUAGGUGGCAAGCGUUGUCCGGAUUUACUGGGCGUAAAGGGAGCGUAGGUGGAUAUUUAAGUGGGAUGUGAAAUACUCGGGCUUAACCUGAGUGCUGCAUUCCAAACUGGAUAUCUAGAGUGCAGGAGAGGAAAGUAGAAUUCCUAGUGUAGCGGUGAAAUGCGUAGAGAUUAGGAAGAAUACCAGUGGCGAAGGCGACUUUCUGGACUGUAACUGACACUGAGGCUCGAAAGCGUGGGGAGCAAACAGGAUUAGAUACCCUGGUAGUC
rnacentral:rRNA from 1 species